rnacentral:rRNA from 1 species
CUACGGGGUGCUCCAGUGGGGAAUCUUGGACAAUGGGCGCAAGCCUGAUCCAGCCAUGCCGCGUGAGUGAAGAAGGUCUUCGGAUUGUAAAGCUCUUUUGCCAGGGACGAUAAUGACGGUACCUGGAGAAUAAGCCCCGGCAAACUUCGUGCCAGCAGCCGCGGUAAUACGAAGGGGGCUAGCGUUGUUCGGAAUUACUGGGCGUAAAGCGCACGUAGGCGGGUCGUUAAGUCAGGGGUGAAAUCCCGGAGCUCAACUCCGGAACUGCCUUUGAUACUGGCGAUCUUGAGAUCGGAAGAGGUGAGUGGAAUUCCCAGUGUAGAGGUGAAAUUCGUAGAUAUUGGGAAGAACACCAGUGGCGAAGGCGGCUCACUGGUCCGAUACUGACGCUGAGGUGCGAAAGCGUGGGGAGCAAACAGGAUUAGAUACCCCCGUAGUC